UCAUGGCUCAGAUUGAACGCUGGCGGCAGGCCUAACACAUGCAAGUCGAGCGGAAACGAAGGGUAGCUUGCUACUCUGGCGUCGAGCGGCGGACGGGUGAGUAAUGCUUGGGGAUCUGCCCGGUAGCGGGGGACAACAGUUGGAAACGACUGCUAAUACCGCAUACGCCCUACGGGGGAAAGCAGGGGACUCUUCGGAACCUUGCGCUAUCGGAUGAACCCAAGUGAGAUUAGCUAGUUGGUGAGGUAAUGGCUCACCAAGGCGACGAUCUCUAGCUGGUUUGAGAGGAUGAUCAGCCACACUGGGACUGAGACACGGCCCAGACUCCUACGGGAGGCAGCAGUGGGGAAUAUUGCACAAUGGGCGAAAGCCUGAUGCAGCCAUGCCGCGUGUAUGAAGAAGGCCUUCGGGUUGUAAAGUACUUUCAGCGAGGAGGAAAGGUUAACGGUUAAUACCC
rnacentral:rRNA from 1 species